rnacentral:rRNA from 1 species
UACGUAGGUGGCAAGCGUUGUCCGGAUUUACUGGGCGUAAAGGGUGUGUAGGCGGAAGCUUAAGUAGGAAGUGAAAGGUUGGAGCUCAACUCCAACACUGCUCCCUAUACUGGGUUUCUUGAGUCUCGGAGAGGAAGAUGGAACGACACGUGUAGCGGUGAAAUGCGUUGAUAUGUGUCGGAACACCAAUGGCGAAGGCAGUCUUCUGGACGAGUACUGACGCUGAGACACGAAAGCCAAGGGAGCGAACAGGAUUAGAACCCUUGUAGUCC